rnacentral:rRNA from 1 species
UACGUAGGUGGCAAGCGUUGUCCGGAUUUACUGGGCGUAAAGAGCGCGCAGGCGGUCGUUCAAGUCGCGUGUGAAAGCCCCCGGCUCAACUGGGGAGGGUCACGCGAUACUGAUCGACUCGAAGGCAGGAGAGGGUAGUGGAAUUCCCGGUGUAGUGGUGAAAUGCGCAGAUAUCAGGAGGAACACCAAUUGCGAAGGCAGCUCGCUGGGACGUUACUGACGCUGAGACGCGAAAGCGUGGGGAGCGAACAGG